GAUGAACGCUGGCGGCGUGCCUAAUACAUGCAAGUCGAGCGAACGGACGAGAAGCUUGCUUCUCUGAUGUUAGCGGCAGACGGGUGAGUAACACGUGGAUAACCUACCUAUAAGACUGGGAUCACUUCGGGAAACCGGAUCUAAUCCCGUAUAAUCUUUUGAACCACAGGGUUCAAAAGUGAAAGACGGUCGUGCUGUCUCUUAUAGAUGGUUCCGGGCUGGAUUAGCUAGUUGGUAAGGUAACGGCCUACCAAGGCAACGAUGCAUAAACGAACGGAUAGGGGGAUCGGCCACACUGGAGCUGAGACACGGUCCAGAGGCCUACGGGAGGCAGCAGUAGGGAACGGUCGGCAAUGGGCGAAAGCAUGACGGAGCAACGCCGAGUGAGUGAUGAAGGCGUUCCGAUCGUAAAACUCUGUUAUGAGGGAAGAACAUAUGUGUAAGGAACCGUGCACAUAUUGACGGUACCUAAUCAGAAAGCCACGGCUAACUACGUG
rnacentral:rRNA from 1 species